rnacentral:rRNA from 1 species
GACGAACGCUGGCGGCGUGCUUAACACAUGCAAGUCGAACGGAAAGGCCCUGCUUUUGUGGGUUGCUCGAGUGGCGAACGGGUGAGUAACACGUGAGUAACCUGCCCUUGACUUUGGGAUAACUUCAGGAAACUGGGGCUAAUACCGGAUAGGAUCUCCUGCUGCAUGGUGGUGGUUGGAAAGUUUCGGCGGUUGGGGAUGGACUCGCGGCUUAUCAGCUUGUUGGUGGGGUAGUGGCUUACCAAGGCUUUGACGGGUAGCCGGCCUGAGAGGGUGACCGGCGACAUUGGGACUAAGGUACGGCCCAGACUCGUACGGGAGGCAGCAGUGGGGAAUAUUGCACAAUGGGCGGAAGCCUGAUGCAGCAACGCCGCGUGCGGGAUGACGGCCUUCGGGUGGUAAACCGCUUUCGCCUGUGACGAAGCGUGAGUGACGGUAACGGGUAAAGAAGCACCGGCUAACUACGUG